CUGCAAAUAUUCUCACUGUUCUAAUUUUAUAAUAAUUAGGGUAAAGAAAAAAAACAUUUGCUAUAUAAAGACCAUGCAUGUGUCCCCAGACCUAGUUCUUUUCCCAGGUAUGGUUUUAUAAAUGAUGGCGAAAAAC